GCUUGGGUGGCUCAAUUGGUUAAGCAUCUGACUUCGGCUCAGAUCACGAUCUCACGGUUCGUGGGUUCGAGCCCCGCAUCAGGUU
rnacentral:tRNA from 1 species